CCUUAUGCGCUAUUUGUGUGUCUUUAGUUGUGAGUUGCCGGGUUUUUGACAAUGUACAAAUUUCAAAAUUUCAAUUUUAACAGCCGAUUUCUAAUUUUCUCAUCACAUACAUUUUUUGGACUGUAUCCUGAUAGAAAAGAAGAGAGGUGAUAGUUGUAUUUUUCUUUGGCUUCGGUUUGGGUUUGGUAUUCCAUUUGAACAGGGUUAUAAUGCAUUUUCUUUAUAGCCUGAUCAAUUAUUUACUUGCACAAUAAAAAAAAUCGUCGAAACUUCAUCGGAUAACCAACUUAACCAUCAUUGUGCUUAUAGUAAGACAUUUCGUAGUCUUAUCAUACAAUAUCUCCCAAGCCUUAGAAAUUUUAUUUGCUUAAUGUUUGGCGCACUGAAUAGUGAUCUUUUCCGUUUCCUUCGUUGACCAGAUACAAUAUUUUUAACUUUCUGGUUGGUUUUUUCAUUUGUUUCUCUACUGUAAAAUAUCUCAUUUUGGCUCUUUUUUUUUAAUAACCAUUUCGUAGAUUUUUUGUCCUAUGAAUUAUAAUCAAUUAAUUGCAAUGUGGCGAUUUUAUUUUAUUUUUCUUUCCUUUAUAUAUAUCAUUGUCUAAUUCCGCCCAACUGCUGGCAUUUGUUUUAAUUUCCAUGAAUUUCUCAUCUAACACUGAGCAGAUAUCUUGGAGUCGAGCCCGACAACUAUUAUAUAUUUUAAUCUAAAAUUUUAGUACAGAAUUUGAUUAGUUUUAUUUUUGUAUUUCGAAUUCCAUUUAACUACUGGUCCAUACAUUUUGCUUUAUUAAUGUUAAUAAAUAUAUAAUCUUGAUUGAAAAGAAUUGCUUUUAGCAAUAUUAAAGCCCGCUGCUAAAAUAUACUCGGGUACUAUUUUCGUGGCACAAAUAUUCAUUCAAUUCGAAUUGGAAUUUUUUUAAAUUUAAAUCUGCCCGCUUUUUGGGUAAUAAUUAAAUUUUUUUGGUACACGUUGACAGUUAAGCAUUACGAGAGUAUCUUUGUGUCUAUUUAAAGGUUGGUUGUCUGGCUGAUUGCCUAGUCUACAGGUGCAAUACCCUUCAUUUUGUGACCAUUGCAAACAAAAAGGCUACGGGCUCGGCUAUACAUGACACGUAUUUAAAACAGCGUGAGUGUAAAUUACUCUGAUUUUUGUUAGGUAAAUUAAACAUGCCGAGGCUAUGGUUCGAACCAUUGUUCGUGUUCAGUGUGCCCACGCUUUAUCCACUUGUAAGACUUGCAAAUUGCUACUCAAUUUGAACCAGCCACCUUCCGCUGGAUAGGCCAAAACGUUUGUACCCUUCUCUUCUUUUUAAUACAAAUUUUAAGUGCUCACUUUCCAUCAAAUAACUUUUGGGCUGUGCGUUGCAAAUUCUUGAACAUAUGUAGACAGAUAUCGUACAACAUUUUAAUUAAACUCCUUUGAGUUGUUCUCUCUGUGAAGUUCUUAACAAGCAGUCUCAAGUUCAAAAAGACAUGCCAAUAGCCAAUUUAUGUCUGCUGUGUUAUGUCAACAAUUCAGUUGACAUUCAGGUAGGCAUACAUAUUUCAGACCUUACCCCCCCAUCCCAUCCCAUCCCAUCCCAUUCGAAAUGCUGGCUAUUACUCGGGCAUUGUCUCAGCUGGCAGCUGGCAGCUGGCGUCACCUGUGGAUGCUGCCGUAUUCAAUCAGCUAAUAAACUUGGAUGCAGACGCUCGAAAGUGAUUAUUGAUUUAAUUACACAUCAAAGUGAUGCCAAACGAAAACAAAGACUAAGAUGUUGCUGGAGAUGUUGUUGGGCGCAGCGGUAAGGAGUCUCCGCCAGUGGCUGCUGCGUCAAAGCAAUAAAAUGCUAAUGAAUUAAUUUUCGCAAGAACUUUGCAAUGAAGUGAAUAUUUUGAGCUCCAGGCACAAAGUCCACCCAACGCCCCCAAGUGAAAGACUUCCUUCCGUUAUUAGACUGGCAUGGCCCGAGGUAUUCGACAUUUGAUGGUACUCAUUCGUACACGGACUAUAUUCGAAUCUGAGCUGGGCAGCCCGCUUUUGUAGCUCUGGCCAACACGGUGAACGAUGCAUCCAGUAGAUGUAUAUUCAAUUAAAGAUAUUGUUAAGCUAGCCACUAGAGCGCAGCUAAGGUGGACUCACAAUCGUUCCGACGGGAAGGCUUGACACCACGCGCUGGAAGCUGAUGGGACACAUCAGAGGAUCAUUGUUGGAAUCAGUUGAAGAAUAACUUCUGGCGACCUGUUUCUGGAUAGGUACUUGCCUGUGUAGAUGUGCACAGAGGCACAGCUUUUUGGAUGAAAUUUGCUUUGAAUUAUGCGGACAUACGAUGAAGUCUUCUUAUAAUAAAGAAAAAAAAACUGGCAAGGAAAAUAUCGAAAAUUAAGACGUCACAUAACCGAAGCCAAAUUGAAAUUUAAACUGUUUAUUUCUGGAUCUUAAGCGGAAGCUAAUAUUUUAAAAAUCAAAUUAAAUAUUUCGAAAAUAA